rnacentral:misc_RNA from 1 species
GAAAUGCGAUAAGUAAUGUGAAUUGCAGAAUUCAGUGAAUCAUCGAAUCUUUGAACGCACCUUGCGCUCCUUGGUAUUCCUUGGAGCAUGCCUGUUUGAGUAUCAUGAAAUCUUCAAAGUAAAUCUUUUGUUAACUCAAUUCGUUUCUACUUUGGUAUUGGAGGUCUUUGCAGCUUCACACCUGCUCCUCUUUGUUCAUUAGCUGGAUCUCAGUGUUAUGCUUGGUUCCACUCGGCGUGAUAAGUUAUCUAUCGCUGAGGACACUGUAAAAGGUGGCCAAGGUAAAUGCAGAUGAACCGCUUCUAAUAGUCCAUUGACUUGGACAAUACUUUUAUGAUCUGAUCUCAAAUCAGGUAGGACUACCCGCUGAACUUAAGC